GUAAACGAUGAAUACUCGCUGUUUGCGAUAUACAGUAAGCGGCCAAGCGAAAGCGUUAAGUAUUCCACCUGGGGAGUACGCCGGCAACGGUGAAACUCAAAGGAAUUGACGGGGGCCCGCACAAGCGGAGGAACAUGUGGUUUAAUUCGAUGAUACGCGAGGAACCUUACCCGGGCUUGAAUUGCACUCGAAUAUGGUUGAAAGAUCAUAGCCGCAAGGCGAGUGUGAAGGUGCUGCAUGGUCGUCGUCAGCUCGUGCCGCGAGGUGUCGGCUUAAGUGCCAUAACGAGCGCAACCCUUAUUUCCAGUUACCAUCGGGUCAUGCCGGGGACUCUGGAAAGACUGCCGUCGUAAGAUGUGAGGAAGGUGGGGAUGACGUCAAAUCAGCACGGCCCUUACGUCCGGGGCUACACACGUGUUACAAUGGGUGGUACAGAAGGCAGCUACACGGCAACGUGAUGCUAAUCCCAAAAACCACUCUCAGUUCGGAU
rnacentral:rRNA from 1 species